CUCUCUAGUUGGGGUGCCUGUGAAACCGGCAGGCUCUCUCCAAAUGCCUGGAUUCUGCUGGGGGAGUAAGAAGUCAGGAGUAGUUUGUCUGAUGGUAUUGGGAUCUGCUUUGCAAUUGCCAAGCGCUAAGGCACAAGCUGGCAGAUGUGCUGCGGCUCUGCUACGGGCGGCUCUGUCGCCUUCAGUCGCAGGCUGGUUCUUUGGGGGAAAGUUGUAUCCAAUAUUGGUGACUCCCGGGAAUAGUCUGUUUGUGUGCUACUUAAUGGUCUCUAGGCUUCCUUGUCUUGUAGAACCUUGUUAGAAAGGAGCCUUGGUGAUUAAGAGGCUAUGGAGUACACAGCCUUGCUUAGCAGAUGAGCCCUUAUCCAUUUCCCGUUUCCUUAAAAACGGCUAAUUGAUGGAUGCUGCAGAAAACAUGCACUCUGCUAAUAAGAUGCUGAUGACAAAAUAGGUAUCAGGAAAGGCAUUUACUGCUUAUGAGCACCAUCAGCUUUCUUUCGAGUGAGAUUGUGGCUUUGUAGUAAAGUUUUUUUUUAAGUAAUAUGCUAAUAGUUUUAUUCUAAAUCGGCCAGCGCUGAAUAUCUUCAGGAAAAUGGGUUCCAUGAGAAGUGACAUCCUCCUCGAAUCAAAAGGAAGAAUGACUUGGGCAAUACCAAAUGUUGAGUUAUCAAGUAUUUCGAUACCCAUAUGCAUCAUCUGCUGUAAGUAUUCUCAGGAUGAUGGAGUGAGUGAUGGAAUAGGUUGCCAACUGUAGUUACUCCACUCAGCACAGAAUGGCUGCGGGGAAAUAUAAUCAGACAUGCCCAAAGAAGUCUGCUUAGGGUGAAACAAAUACCUUUGAGGUUUAAAUCAGGAAGGAGAGACUGUUUCUACAGGUGUCAUACAAAAAUCAAUACUGAGCCAAGGAUUAUUGGAUCCCAUAGAACCACGGAGACUUGGUAGUGAAAUUCUUCCAAAGGUGAGUAGGGGCAUUGAUUUCCUUUCCCAUGCCUGCAGAAAUAUGACACAAUUAACAGAGGCUAAGUUUAGACAGGAAAUAAGUCUGAUUUGAAACUGUACUGUAAAAGAAUUAGUGAUACUUUUU
rnacentral:lncRNA from 1 species